UUGCAUAUUAUGUUUCUAAAUCAGACUUUUGCUUACAGAAUGUAAGACAACGCUGCACGCUGCUAAAAGCACUAAUCGCACUCUAAGCUAACCACGCAACAGCGAGGGUGUGAAGAGUUAAAGACUUUCGUCCCGUAUACUUCUCUAAUGAUCCUUCCGCAGGUUCACCUACGGAAA
rnacentral:misc_RNA from 1 species